AGCCAUGCUAGUUGUACGAGUUUCAUACUCGUAGCAGAUAGCUCAGUAACACGUGGCCAAACUACCCUAUGGAUCCGGAUACCCUCGGGAAACUGAGACUAAUCCGGAAUACGAUUCUCAGGCUGGAAGUGCGGGGAAUCAGAAACGCUCCGGCGCCAUAGGAUGUGGCUGCGGCCGAUUAGGUAGACGGUGGGGUAACGGCCCACCGUGCCAAUAAUCGGUACGGGUUGUGAGAGCAAGAGCCCGGAGACGGUAUCUGAGACAAGAUACCGGGCCCUACGGGGCGCAGCAGGCGCGAAACCUUUACACUGCACGCCAGUGCGAUAAGGGGACUCCGAGUGCGAGGGCAUAUAGUCCUCGCUUUUUGUAACCGUAGGAAGGUUACAGAAUAAGUGCUGGGCAAGACCGGUGCCAGCCGCCGCGGUAAUACCGGCAGCACGAGUGAUGACCGCUAUUAUUGGGCCUAAAGCGUCCGUAGCUGGCCGCGCAAGUCUAUCGGGAAAUCCGCACGCCUAACGUGCGGGCGUCCGGUGGAAACUGCGCGGCUUGGGACCGGAAGACCAGAGGGGUACGUCUGGGGGUAGGAGUGAAAUCCCGUAAUCCUGGACGGACCGCCGGUGGCGAAAGCGCCUCUGGAAGACGGAUCCGACGGUGAGGGACGAAAGCUCGGGUCACGAACCGGAUUAGAUACCCGGGUAGUCCGAGCUGUAAACGAUGUCUGCUAGGUGUGUCACAAACUACGAGUUUGUGAUGUGCCGUAGGGAAGCCGUGAAGCAGACCGCCUGGGAAGUACGUCCGCAAGGAUGAAACUUAAAGGAAUUGGCGGGGGAGCACUACAACCGGAAGAGCCUGCGGUUUAAUUGGACUCAACGCCGGACAUCUCACCAGCAUCGACAAUGUGCAGUGACGGUCAGUGUGAUGAGCUUACCUGAGCCAUUGAGAGGAGGUGCAUGGCCGCCGUCAGCUCGUACCGUGAGGCGUCCUGUUAAGUCAGGCAACGAGCGAGACCCGCAUGCCUAAUUGCAGCAGUACCCUUGAAGUAGCUGGGUACAUUAGGGAGACUG
rnacentral:rRNA from 1 species